AUUGAACGCUGGCGGCAGGCCUAACACAUGCAAGUCGAGCGGUAGCACAGGGAGCUUGCUCCCGGGUGACGAGCGGCGGACGGGUGAGUAAUGUCUGGGAAACUGCCUGAUGGAGGGGGAUAACUACUGGAAACGGUAGCUAAUACCGCAUAACGUCGCAAGACCAAAGAGGGGGACCUUCGGGCCUCUUGCCAUCAGAUGUGCCCAGAUGGGAUUAGCUAGUAGGUGGGGUAACGGCUCACCUAGGCGACGAUCCCUAGCUGGUCUGAGAGGAUGACCAGCCACACUGGAACUGAGACACGGUCCAGACUCCUACGGGAGGCAGCAGUGGGGAAUACUGCACAAUGGGCGCAAGCCUGAUGCAGCCAUGCCGCGUGUGUGAAGAAGGCCUUCGGGUUGUAAAGUACUUUCAGCGGGGAGGAAGGUGUUGUGGUUAAUAACCACAGCAAUUGACGUUACCCGCAGAAGAAGCACCGGCUAACUACGUGCCAGCCGCCGCUGUAACAC
rnacentral:rRNA from 1 species